AGGAAAUUGAAUAUCAUCUAACGCAAUUGAGAUGUUCCCCUUCAUUCUUAAACAAUGAUCUAUUUAGAGCUAAUAUUAUAAAUUUAUAAAUGAUCCUUCUUGUCACUGUGAGUCAGAUAUUGAUGGUGUCUACCAUUACUUCUUUGUUUGUCCAAAAUACACACUAUGUAGAAAAACCUUAUUCAAUAAUCUCAACUGGCUAUCCGAAAACAUUGUUUUAGAUACAAAACUAUUAAUUUGCGGACACAUGGAACUUUCGAAUGAACAAAAUAUUCAAAUUUUCAAACAUGUUCAAAAUUUUCAUAAAAUGGUCAAACACAUUUUUUAUGCCUUGAUAGAGGUUAUUGUUACUGGCACGGAACAUCAUUGUCAUCAUCAGUACACACGUCACCGUCACAGAAUCAUAUGACUUUUCAAACUUUCUUUUUCUCUUUUUUACAUAUGAAAGCUAGUAUUAUUCUAUAAACUGUUUUCCUUAUAUGCAUGUCCAUUAUAUCAUACUAUUAUUGUAAUUUUAUAUUGUAUUAUGGAGAAGACUUCAUAAGUAUGAUUUACUUGUGUCUAAUCCUUUUUGCUUUAAUUCAGCAAGUAAAAUAUGUUUUAACUAACUCAGUCUAUACUUAUACAUUAUCUACUACUCCCAGGUCUGUAUCAAUUGGAUUUAUCUGCAUUAUUUAAGUUAAAACUAUGUUAUUCAUCUCCAUGUCUUAUGCAAUAUAAAGACUUGCAUACAUUCACUAGCCAAAAUAUUUGUUUCUCAUUCAAGUCACCUUUUGCAUAUAAUUUUUCACCACGAUAACCUUGCAUCAAUGGUCUGUCAUUUUAAAAGCAUCACUUGAUAUCUCUUCACAAUUUAUUUUUUAUUAAGAAAUAAAAUGAUUUUUAAUAAAUAAAUAGAAUAGGUAAGUACUAAUAACUUAUUGCAAUACACCUUUCAUACCUGCCUAAUUUUUAUUAGAAAACUCAGAAGGAAAUUUAUGUACCCACUACAGGUUAUGUAUUAGUUAUGGGGACUGACAGGCUUUUUUUUUUUUUUUUAUUAAUUUUUUUACUUUAGAAGCAUUUCUUCUUAAUUCUCUAUUUAUUUUGCUUAAUAUCUAAUAUUAUUAUACUCCAUUCUUUACUAAGUAAAUUCACAAACACAUUAUUUUGUAUCCGCCCCCUUUUUUAAGCUGCACUGUCAGUCCUCUUUUCUCUAUUCUGUAAACCCCCAUAUCCGACAGUAAGGUAUUGACUAUUGUUUAUUCAAACAGGUUAAACAGAUAUGCAUUACGUAACUUAUAUCUGUAACCAUUGCUCUAGUAUAUUUUCCAACCUCACCUGUGCACCCAGCAGGUGAUCAUGGAUGUACACAGAUUCGACGCAUGUUACGCAAUAGUGCGUAUUGCCGAUGUCAUAUAUAUAUAUAUAUCACCACCCGGGGCAUGACACCUGUAGCUUUCAACUUCAAAGGUAACCCAGCACUGCAGAGAAAGUGUGCCGCAUACCUGUAACUUCUGAUCGAUGUUGAUGACUUUUAAUUUAUUAUGUCCAAUUUCAGUGUACACACCUGCACACGUGAACAGGUAGUGAGGUACACGCAGGAGGUACACAAUACCAAAUUUUAAACAUUGAGAUAUAUUUGGCUAUAAAAUUAUACACAAAUAUGACUAAACUAUUAAAAAAUUAUAUUAAUAAGGGACGCAAAAAAUAUUUGCGAAGAAAAAGAUUUUUUCUCCCUCAGCCAUUCUCCGCUUCUCACAAGCUCCCCGCUUAGGUGGGGCUCAGCUGUUGUUGGUUGUGUCAAUGGAAUGUCAGGUACCGCAUUUGGACGAAGUUUUGGCUUCAUGGUAGGACAUCCCUCGAGAUUCUUCAUAACUUCUGGGUCACGAUCGUAACAUGCAUUUGUAAAGUGGGCGGAACAAAGUCUAUGACUAGUGCUUGGUAGGAAGUCCUAUCUCUUCCUGGGACUAGUCUGCGGGUUACUCAGAAAACGGAUUUUUUUUUUUAUCAAAUUGUCCUUAUGCCUAUUGUUGCAUCUACUGGCAGAACACAGAACCAUUUUUAAUCACUGUCAUGGGUUUUGUUGGAAGAUAUUCGAAUAUGAAAUUGCGCUUAUUAUGCCUUUACACCCGUCAGUCAAAUAUGAUUGAUGUAACCACUGACGUCACAGCCUCGUUCUGAGUGACUUCCGGGAUUGAAAUAUGCAUAAUUAGUAUGUCGACAGAUCGAUACAUUUAAAUUUAUUUUUUAUCCAUUUAAACGAUAAUUAUAUUGUUAUCGAUGUUUUUUGGGGGUAAUUAUGUAUAAAUAAAUAUUUAUUUAAAAAAAAAAAAAAAAAAAAAAAUCAUGUCACAUCUCCUUUAAGU
rnacentral:lncRNA from 1 species